GAAUCAGACUGUGGAUUUCUCUGUGAAUACCCAGGGUGCACGGUUCCGUGUUGGCACCAGGCCUAGAGUAGACUGAUCUCAGCUCUCGCUCCUGUCCAGCUCAUCAUGGGUGCAAGUACAGCCAUUGUUUUAGCCACUGCUUUCCUCGUUGUGGUAUUCCUCAUUUUACUGACAGUUUUAGCGGUGGUAACGGAUUCAAGUGAUCUCUCUGGGGAUAUAUUUCCUUCUUUUUUGAGUCUGGGGGAAAACAAAUGGCCUGACUCUGUUCUGCAAGCAUUAGCCUUUCACAUGCUGUUCUUUCGAGGAAACGAUGACUACUCCCUGUGAAGAAAAACACAUUUCCUUCCUUCCAAGCAACCUGGCUUGUGUCUUCCCACUGUGGGAAUUGAAAAUCGCCUUCUGACCCUCAGCUGCACAAUUAAGAUAUUUAGAUUGCUUUGAGCACUAAAUUAUUUUAAAUCUUUAAUAAAAGCGCUAUG